UACGUAGGGUGCAAGCGUUGUCCGGAAUUACUGGGCGUAAAGAGCUCGUAGGUGGUUUGUCGCGUUGUUCGUGAAAACUCACAGCUUAACUGUGGGCGUGCGGGCGAUACGGGCAGACUUGAGUACUGCAGGGGGAGACUGGAAUUCCUGGUGUAGCGGUGGAAUGCGCAGAUAUCAGGGAGGAACACCGGUGGCGAAAGGCGGGGUCUCUGGGGCAGUAACUGACGCUGGAGGAGCGAAAAGCGUGGGGGAGCGAACAGG
rnacentral:rRNA from 1 species